rnacentral:rRNA from 1 species
AAAUUGAAGAGUUUGAUCAUGGCUCAGAUUGAACGCUGGCGGCAGGCCUAACACAUGCAAGUCGAACGGUAACAGAAAGAAGCUUGCUUCUUUGCUGACGAGUGGCGGACGGGUGAGUAAUGUCUGGGAAACUGCCUGAUGGAGGGGGAUAACUACUGGAAACGGUAGCUAAUACCGCAUAACGUCGCAAGACCAAAGAGGGGGACCUUCGGGCCUCUUGCCAUCGGAUGUGCCCAGAUGGGAUUAGCUUGUUGGUGGGGUAACGGCUCACC